CAAUAAAGGAAGUAUGGUAAUGUGCACGGAAGUUGAAUUGGAUCUCUAAGCCUAACCUCUCUGAUGUCAUUUGGAUUUGAUUUGGGAGCAUGGUUCAGCAGCAAUACA